AGGAGAGGGGAAGCUGAGGGGAAGGAGGGCUGUGAGGGGAGAGAAGGAAGGGGAGACUGCGAGGGAGCCCCAUUUGCCUGAGGGGGUCACAGAGAGCCCCCCUGCGAGCUGCCCUGGCUCGAGUUCUGCUUCCAGAGGGCAGCAGCAGCCUCCACAGCUCGGUGCCCACCCAGGCUCAAACAAGUCUCCUCAGGAGACGCUGCGGCAGUUGUGAGGGCUCAGAGUUAAGCAGCAAGUUUGUAACAGCAAGGAUAGUACCCAGCUGCCAGACAUCACACCAGCGGACAGCAGGCAAACACAACGGGAGGCUUUGUCCUGUGGGACAACCUAGGCAGCUUUCUUUACGCUGGAGGUAGCAGAGUGAUUCUCCGCAUUCAUUCCGUCUCGCAGAAGUGACCAGGCAACAAAGGCAGAGCAGCACGGAUAAGGCAUUCCGGCGGUUCAAUUUACUUCUCAAGAGUCAUUCCAAAGCCCUUUAAAAAGAUCUCUUUGCUAGCAGAGGGCAUUAAAAAUAUAUUAUUUCCUCAGAAAUAAUGAGGACAGGGUAAAAUAUAUGCAAGGCAGAAGGGAAGAAAGGGGAUGUCUGUGGCAAAACUUUUCACUCCUGUGCCACGAAGGCCGGCAAGAGCCAGCUGGUUGCUUGUUGCCUCCGAAGUACCAGUCUGCCCCGCUGCUGCAUGCAAGGAAUGCACAAAGCCCCUUAAUGCAGAGGGGAGGGAAAUUUGUAGGACACCAGCUUUGCCCUGGAGCUGGCCCUGCCAGAGUGAAAGCCCAAGCAGGCAGGAGCCAGAACUGCAGCUCGAGCAACAGACAAUCAAGCUGCUCUCCUUGGCUUGUGCGAGGCUGGGAAAGCUACACACAGGGAAGAGGAGUCCCACAGAAUCCCAUCAUGUAUCCUCUAGCACCCAACAUUCAUUUCCAGCCCUCCAGGCCCUGUGAUGCUGAAAAAAAAAGACAUGCCAUCAUCAGGAGAAAGCUUAUCUCCCUGUUGAUUUGGAGAGCGUUCUAGUUCUGUUUGACAGAGGUAUCUGAGCACUGAGAGUGUCCCAGUCCUAUGUACGUGUGCAUACAAGUGCAAUGCACGCAUACACCCAGCACUAGUCCCAGAGAAUACACGUAGCACUUCCCAUCUCAAGUUUACUGCAUGUGCUGCUUGCCCUAAGUAAAAUAACCAAACACAAUCCUUGUCAAACAGUCCUAAAUGAGCCAUACUUCCCCUCCAUUUCUUGGACUUCCCUACAUUCCCAUUUCAUUUCUUAUUCACUGCAUUUCUUCUCCCCUUCUCUCUCCAACCAUGCAAUUUUUUGAAGAAAAAAUCACUUUAUAGAACAGACAGGCCCUAGUUCAACUUGAAGUUGAACUUCGAUUUACUCAUUACACUUUAUUUAUAACUUUCUAUUCAACUCCCUAAAACAAAGGUUGGACCCCUCCUGACUCCCUCCUACUGACGCGACAGUGAUGCCAAUCUUAACCUCGUUAGCAUUGAUUUUCAUGUAAGGCUAGUAAUUUUCCCAACAACAUCCACAGAAGAAACCAACCCAAGUCCAUUUGUCCCGCAUGAAAGAAGCUGCUCCUGUCUGCAAAGCAAUAGUGAGAAGAUGACGUUCAAAUUGCAGAAAACAGAACUGAAACACAAGUAAAUCUCUAAUCCCUUUACAAAAAGGCACUUAUCGUGAAGUUGGAAUAACCGUGAACACACAGGUGAAUUGAAGUGUUUUACCAGGGUAACAGUACGAACAGGGAGCAGAACCACUUUACCAAAAUACAGUGCCUCCCACCUGGAAAGCCAGCUCCUUGAACUUUCAGAAAUCUUCGCACGAUCUUAAGUUAACUAAGAUAUCAAAGCAACUUCCCCAUUUAAAAGCAGUUCACAGAAGGCACGCUCAGUGCUCAGUACGACAAUUUAAGUUGUGCAGGGAGUGGCAUAUUGAACAUUUUACUGCUUGUGUUUAGUAAACAAUCGCUGUGCCAGUGUUGUUUGUGGGUCAACACUGGAAGGCUUCAACAUCUCCACUCUCCAAAGUUAUCACCAGUUUCCUCACGUCCCAUUUUCAGACCAAGGCAGGGGGCCAACAAACAAGCAUGCAAAACCAGCAGCAACUUUCAGAAGUUGCAGGAAUCAUGAGAAACAUUACACACACCACCUCUGACAGACGUUACCAUCGUCUCAAACCUUCUGGAUUUGCAGAAGGCUAUCAAGCUCAUGACCAGAAUGCCAAUUAAAUGCAUUUCUGUCUACUCAUACAGUCUUCACAAGCUCACACUUGCAACAGAUCCCUAAAGGUAAGAAUUUGACAGUCCAAAGAGAAAGGAAACGGAUUUAAACCUCCAACCACUGGCUUCCUGUUUCCAUCUAUAGUAGGAAAUUCAAAGUCUCCCGUAUCCAUGACUCCAAGACACCUGUGGUGGCACAGAGAAAACAGAGAUGGCAAACAGCAGCAGUCAAAGCACUCCUGAAAACAGAUGUGAUACACAGCAACAUACACUGAUCGCUCGGUGCUUCCUACUGCCUAAAAUGACAAAAUAUCAUUUUAAAGUUUCAUCUUUGUGAAAGGAGUUUAAGCAUUCACGUUAAAAUCAGUGUAAGCUUUAGGAAAGAACUUUUAAACGUUACAUUGAUUUAAACUUGAUUGAUCCACUAUGGAACUGGUGAAGCAUUAGCUGUACCACAAUUACUGUAACCACCGGGCUCUGACUGCAGAAGUUUUUAUUCCUGCUCACCAAGUCUGGAACUGCUUCUGGAAUUCCUUUUAUGCAUACAAAGUUCACUGAAAAUUUACAGAAGAAAAAAUAAAGGGCUGGUAGGCUGUUAGCUGAAAAGAAUCUUGAACUGGUGCCUUGAAACCACUUCAUCCGAUGAAAGCAUUAAAUAGAGUUUUGGGGUUGUUUUUAACCCCAAAUUAGUUUAUUAAUAAAGUGCUUCAAAAAUUACAGUGAAAAAUUCUUCUUUUCUUCAACUCCUAACAACAGCAGAUAGAAGAAUGUUCUCUCUACAUAAACAAACGCAAAGCUGUUUGGUUUCUGGAUAGAAACCAUUAACCCUCAUCACCCUGAUUAAUUACUUUCUAUUUUUAAACCUUGAGAAAGGACAUUACUGCAGUUCCUUUCAGAACACAUGCAUAGGAAGCCAAUAGGCAAACCCCCUUCUUCCCCUAGGUGAAAGAGAAUAAAUUGACCACAGCAGUGUCUGUAGCUCACAAGAUGCUGGAAACCAAGGCAGCUCCCAGCACCCUUGGCCUUCCCUCAGCUAGAAGGCAUCUGGUUGGGAGAGCACAGGAACGUGCCAGCAGUCGAGCUGCAACCAGAGGGACAGGAAUAUAAACUUACAACAAGCCAGGCCAGAUGCAAAACAACAAAAAUUGCCACCAAACUGGCUGCCUAGACUUAGGCACCGUGUAUUUAACCAGCAGGGUUAGCUUAGCUCCAGCAUCAGUGGAUGUAGAAACUGAAAUUUAAUUAAUUGCGGCACAAUUAGUGCCCUUUCCAUAUCCCCUGGGAGCUGUCUUCACCUACCUGCUACUAGGACCUCUGAGGGUAUGUUUUCUGCACACAACUAAGCUGACCUACCCUAUGAUCUUCCCACCCUGAAACCGGGGGGAAAAAAAACUUCCUUGCAUCUACUGCAUGAAGAGGAAAGCAGCUCUGAAAGAUCACCACUAUCCAAAUAAUUCAAUCUGCAAGUUACUGCAAAACAGAGAAGUUACCAGGUCAAACCAGAGCUGUUUUUCAGCUCAACACAUGCUAGAUCAGCCUGAGAAUACCACAGACUCAAUAAAAAGGGAUUGUUUAUUACCUGACAAGAAUUCCCUUGAGUCUCCAAAGGCAUCCGCUGUCCUGAAACCACAAAUACCAUUGUUCUGGACUUUUACAAUACUCUGUGAAAGCCAAGUGAGCCUCAAGGUGGUGUGAAGCACCACCCAAGUGUUUUCAGUUCACAUACUUUCUAGCCUUGCAGGAGGCCUCCAGGUCCAAACUCAAGGAAGGUCAGGAAAAUAACUAAGACGUGUCCCCUCUUCAUAUCUUCAUGCAGUUCAGCUUACAGUUUUUCCCCUGAAGAAUACCCUAAAAAAGAUCUGUUCAAACAAAUGGGAUUCUACCUCAUUAGCACAGCAAACAUAUUUAGAAAGAUUAACAGACACACACACACACACACACACGGGGAAAACUUUACUAGGAGAAAGCACUGGCAAGUGAUGAGCAUUCAGGUUAAGUCUCUUAAUGCACACGCUUCCCCAAACCCCGGUAUUCCUUAAAAUAUGACAGGAAGCGCCUAUUUGCUUUUCCUAUUCACACUAAUUCAGGUCUAUUGUUGGCUGAAACAAAGGUCUUUCAGCCCACAUCACCCGUUCCCAGGACAUUUGACACCAGUUUAUUAAUAUCAUAAACAUAAGAGGCACAAGUGGCAGAAAUCCAGCCCCGCUCCUGGUGCCCGUCUUAAAUAACCUUAGAAAGGCGGGCAAGCAGCCUCACAGGUUGUGGAGCUGCAACGUUCGGUCACAAUUAGGGACAAGCUGUUAAAGGUCACAGCUUCUCCUUGAGCCUGCUCUUUACAGCCUCUGCAAGAGUGCACGAUCCCAAGAAACAGCUCAGGUCUGCCCACAACCCUUCCUGUCUGCAACCAGCAAAUUGUUCUGACUUUAAAUACAGAAGUAGCCAACAGCAAACCCAACACUUCAGCAUUGUUAAAUACUAGCCUGUUGCUCAAUAUGAAAGCUAUUGCAGGGUUCAGUUUUCUAAUCAUCACAAAAUUCAGCUGCUGAGAGCUUCCAACCUGAGAAGUUUGAAUCUACUUUAAUGCAGGGAAAUGGGAAAAGCCACCUGCCUCCCCCCUAAUGAGGAUGUGCAUUGCAGCUUUGCAUCAAUCCCUCUUCCAUCACGCUGAAAAACUCCUCUCCCAUCAAGGUCAGGACCAUCAGAAAGACUGUGAGCAGCAGUGGCUAACCUCUGAAUAACAUCACCUCGAGAGGCUAUGCACCCCUAAAUUAAGCUGCUAUCUAAUACUCCAUCAGAAAGGAUGGCUUUGAUGUGAGAUAUAAAGAAUAAAAGACUUCAAGUACAGAAGACAGACUGUUUAAAAAAAAUCUAAACAUGUUACAGUUUGCAAUGUCUUCCUUUUGAAAGUAUCUACUACAUAGAAAACAUCUAACAUUUUAAAUAUCUGGCUUGGGUACGUAUGUGCUCCACUGCUGUCACAGCAUACAACAGUCACAACCUGGAAAAAUUACGUGUCCCUGCUUAGAUGUAGAUAAAGAAAUCCAAAACCUUAGGUUUCAAAUGCCACACAACUCUGGCAACCAUUACUGAUAGAAUAAGUGAUAGUGGCUGUCAUUAUGGCAACGGCAUAUCCCACAUACAAAACAGUUUACAACAGCCCAGAACACUCAUAUAACCAAGCCUUGACUGGUUUACAUACCCCAAAAAUAAUUGAAAUAAACAUGUGCUCCUUGGUGCUGCAGCAGCAACACUUCAAAAACAACUUCUUGUUUAAAACCCUAGAUGAAAUCUCAAAAAUACGAGCCCAGAAGAACGUGAAGCUCGUGGUUUGCUUAAAUAGGCAAUCUGACAGCGUUUUCUGCCUCUACAGUGCAUCCAUACUACUGAGCACAUGUUUUAAAUAUUCCUGCAGAUGUAGCGAUAACCUGACUAAAUGAUGCAGGAAAGGGUUUCCUCCACCUUGAGUUUUCUAGUUCCACGCAUUACGCCUUUCAACAUACUUUAAAAAGUGACUGUACUAAGCAAUUCAACGUGCAGUCCACACUAGUUACAUUUCAAUGCAGAAACCCUGCUCAGCUAACAAAACCCAUGCUGACUUAUGAGAUACUUCCCUGGAGAAAGAUGACAGAAGGGUUAAAUUAUAUUCAUAUCGUGGAGAAUUCAGGGAGUUUCUUAUCAUUUUUGUCCUUUAUACAACUGCAUACAGAUCAGGCAUUAUCUGGUUAUAGGGGAACAAAAUUAACUCAAGCAGCGACUACCUUCAUGCCCACACUUUCUUUCAAGUAAGAUCCCCUUAGGUGCCUGAAUGUUCUGUCACUAUCGCUCACAACACUGAGGGAUUUACUGAGCAAUACCAGGAGAACUGAGACAAAAAGGCUUAUAAAUAACAGAUUUGAUUAUUUCUGCUCUACUACUGCAUUUGUCUAGCCUCAGUGCUCUGGUACAUAACUUGUUCCAACACAUUUUCUGCCUGCAGAGCUUUGCUUUACAAAGCAUCGUAAAUAAAGCUACAGCAAAACUGUUGCUGCAUACCUAACUUCCAAGAAAGAACUAUCUCAGUUCUGACAUUAAGGACAAAAAAAAAUCAGGAUUACUCAUUUUCCAGAAUAAACUUUAUGAUGGACCAGAAAAAUCAAACAACCUCUAUUCAAAGAAGAGCAGCACUGCUGAUUCUGGCUCUCCUGAAAACAUCCCUGCUGACCUGCAGAUAAAGGACAUCCGGCUGCCAUAUGCAGGGUAAGAUUUGGGAGACCAGGACUCCACCUCAACCCACUGCUCUCUGGAAAACCUGUAGUCUGAGAGAUCAAUUACAGUACUACACACUCACUGGGCUCCUUCUGGAUGUGUGAUACUUCAAGAAGUGCUCCAUAAUUCUCCUAUGACCAGUACUAUUGGAUUCAAGUUAUAUUUAUUAUCAGGAUUUUCCAAAAUACAAAGAAAGAAUUAGACAAAGAUUUAUUUACGCUUUAUUUCUUCUCACUGUGAUAAAGAUAACAUGCUAGCAAUGCAUCUAUUUUCAAAGAACAGGCUAAUUACCCCUUGCAGCAGAAGUGCUUUCCUGUAUAACCAAGCUGUUUUAUUUAUACUUUCAUUUUCUUAGGGAACUGUUCUUCAUAGGCAUGGGAAGGAUGAAGAAUGUUCUUGAAAAAUGCCAACAAGCUCAGAAAUACCACUGAGAUCUUAAAAAAGAAAUAAGUAUCAGUGCCUAAGCUGUUGAUCCCACUAAGUUAUAUGCAGUUAAUAGCACAGAGUCCCUGCCUUCUAUGGGUAUUAGGACUAAUUUCCAUUCAAGACCAGUGUGCAAUUCCCACGUAUAAAUUUCUCAUGCUCUGUCACCAAAUGUGAUUUUAAACAUAAUAAAAAAAGUCAUUCAAAAAUAUAGGUAGUUAAGCUUUAAAUAUACGCUUCCGAGGCUGCAAGAUGUCCAUAGAUUAAGGCUUUUUAAUAAACAUCCAUCAGGAGUAAUAUGUAAAGUUGAAAGCUUUGCAUGUAGAGAACGUAAUAAACUCCCAAGGUCUUCUCAGCCCUUUUCUGUGAUACCAUCCUCAUUUUGUUGUGACAGAUGAUAAACACAUUUGUUUGAUAACCAGAGGCUGAGCAGAGAACUGAAGUCUACCACUCAGAGCAUGGAUUUCACAAGUGCCAAAGUUAUGUUCAUGCUCUUUGACUCUUGAAUUCUGCUUGUUAAAAUACUUAGUAGCAACAGGUCUAGGGAAAAAUCAGCGCUGUGAACUAGGUGAAUCACUGAGGAAUUUACUCACCUCUCCUAAUGCACAGAAGGUUUAUAAGCUUCUCCUCAAGACAGUAAAGUAUCUUACUCAAGACAGCUUGCACCAAUUAUAGCUGAAUACAUCUACACAAAAGCUGCCCCUGCAUUACUUAUUCAAGGGUACAUUUGCCCAGACAGCACUGAAAAAUAAGCACUACAGAAUUAGCUAUAUAUUAAUUCACAUUACCAAACAUCUGCUCAGUAUAAAUUUUAAAAGGAUGCUUUCAUUUGGAUGACUGCACGUUAGAAGAAUAAAUCAUUUCUAUUUCAAGUUAUAUUUACUUACCAUAUGGCAUUUGUUUGUUGUUUUUUUUAUUUUUUUUUUUAAAGCUCUUCAAUGCUAACACGGAAAACAUACCUGUUUCUGCUUGCACUUGUGCAUUUUUAUCAUCCUUUUUCUUCCUUCACUUGACUCAGGUGAUUCCGGAGUCCUUGAAACUAAUUUGAAUCAGUAACUACUUACUUCUCAACUCCUGCUGACAGCUCCCCACCUCAAUGUACAGAAACAUUCCUCACCUCCAACAAAGUAUCUCCACUAACUAGUCCCCUCAGAAGACCUUACUUCAGAUCUUUUCAGGAGGCUUGUUUGUGUUCCGAAGUAGUGCAGAGCUAUUUAUGGCAAAGUCUCCGCUGGAAUCACAGCCAGAAUUUCAAUAGGCUGCACAGCACAGAAAAGCCAGUGGUUCGUUUUCUGUUUGCAAAUAACAAUAUAUUUGGAAAUAACAUACUGUGCUAUUGUUUUGCAUGUUCAGAACAGAAGCCUUGAGGCGAUGCCUUUCUUCAUUUGUCACUGGGAAUGCCACAGCUUAAGAGCACUUGGAGUAUCUUGAUUUGCUCUUUUUGCUGAAGCCACUACAAAACAUACACCACAAGUUAAAAAUUAGGAGCAGUACUUCAGAAAAACAUCAUGAUUUGGCAAUGCCUUUCAAAAUCAGCUACUAGAAUUCUGUAGUCUGGGUUGCCCUUCUGUUGUCAAUACAAAAAACAAUUCCUGGAAACUAUCACGCUGUUUCAGACUCUUCUCAUACAUUCUUUGGCCAAAGCCAAAAAUUUCUAACACUUUUUAAUCUCCAAGUGUCAAACUCUAGCAUGCAAGAGACCAUUGCACCUCAGACACAUGUCAAGUGCCUCCCUCUAAGGAAGGAAAAUUAAAGUUAAAAAAAGUCAUCUUACCUACCAUAAUGGAGAAAGAAAGGAGGGAAGGAGGCACGCUCACUAGAUGAGUUUCAGGCAGCCUGCCGGAGAGCACAGCGCCUGUGAAGGUCACAAGUGCAACUGAAGCUUCCAGCAGAGACGAAUACAGAGCUCUGACUAUCACGGGACUGAGGAAUAAAACUUUCAAAUUAUUUCACUCACUAUGGACAUCCACUCCUUUAUUAGUUUAUUUUAAUACUUGGUGCAUUUUUUGCUGUGGAACAUGGAAAAUAAUCUUCCAUUUACCAAUUGCCUUUCCCCCACACACACUUAGCAAGUAUUUUCCUGCACUUUUUACUCCAGCCCAAGCAUACAUGCCUCAACAUCUUAAGUUUUUGUUGUAGUUAAACAGAAGCCAAUACUAGUUUGAAGCCUGGACUUCCAGAGAGAUUCUUAACACUUCUUUAAAUGAUGCAGAACAGAAUCUACACGUUGACACCUCGGUAAGGCUGACCCUCACACUUAUACCACAUCUGAAAAAAUUACAGUCUACAAGUCUGAGCUAAAUACUGACCUUUAUUCUUAAGGGAGUUACUUUACAUCUCAUCUUCGCUAUCUAUAAAUUAGGAGGCUUUCUUUGAUCUUGGAAAAAUUAUAUAACAGCUAUAAAAACAAGACAGAAUAUUUAGUUACAUUACUGUCCUGCAAAGACCUCAAAGCUCCCUGCAAUAGCUUUUAGUAGAAGUCUUGGAACCCAAUUUUGGGCAACACGCAUGCUAGUCUUACAGACAAGGAAAAAACAAAGUACAUAGGGGCUAAAAUGAUGCAUCUCAACUCAGCAUGAUUACUUUCAAUUAACUUAAUUUCUAUUCUUAUCCCCUCAGGAUAAUUAAUUUUAAGCCUAAAUUUUAAACUUGGUAAAAAGUUAAAAAAACACACAGCUAUUUAAUAGAGGUAAGCCUCACUGAAAAUACACUAGUUAAAAGAACAUGAAUCGGAAGGUGCCAAACUUCAACUUGAGCAUUAUGUAAGAGCAGAACUUCUGGAAAACGAGUUUCAACACACACACAAACAAGCUUACAAGACCAAAGAGGGCUGUGUACAUCAUCUUCUCUUGCUGACUUCUUCAAAAUGACAGCAGCCAGCAAGGAGGAAAGAUUAAGCCAGAAGUGCUCCUACACAGGAUGCAAUCACUCCGUCGUGUCAUCUCUUUCCCUACCAACGUAUACACGUAAUAGCCCUUGCACAGGAACAUGAGGAUCAGAACAGAGAUGACCUCACAGCACAGCUGUAGAUGACAAUUUAGAUCACACUUGAGAUCUGCAGAAACAGCAGAAGGGUGAUGCCACAUAAGAAGGGAAUGCCACAUAAGCCAGUAGAUGUGUUAUAACAAAGUUUGGUCUGAGCUUCCUCAGGUCAAAUCAAGGAAGAGAAUCCACAAGCUCCAGGGAGCCAGCAACCUGGUGUGCGCAGUCCUAGAGGUUUGGUUUGUUCUUAAAUGCUAUCUCCUUACUGCACUUUCCUCUGAGGCAUCCAAAUCUUGUCAGAGAGAGAACUGCUGGGUUAAGCACAGCAGGCGUCCUGCUCCAGUGACAGGAUUGUCAUGUUACCGGCCUCCACUGCUCCUCGUGAGUGGGCUACUGGUCCAAAAGGGAACACAAAAUGAAGACCCUGCAUGUUUCUUGAACAGAAAUAUAAAAUCAAUAAGGUUAAACUACAAAAUUCCGAACGCAAAGCUGUGAGAACAGAGAAAAGCAGGCGGCUUCUACAGAAAGUUGGGUCAAAAAGCCCCUCCUGCCAGUUCCAGUGUCCCUAAACGCAGCUUAUGAAUGCCUCGGUACUGCCUCUACAUCACAGAGCCGUCUGCUCACUGCUGGACUAGACCAUGACAAGGUCUGCGUGCUGCAGUUUCAAUUGGGGUUUGUUCGUACUGAUCUUUUAGAAGAGGUUCUCCAACAGAUCCCAAAUUCACUGAUAUUAGAGCUCCCCAUAUGGAAGGAGACUACAAACAAGCAUCGGAAGGCUGAGGAAUUGUCUCAGUUGUUCCCGUGGCUCCUUCACACCGUUAUCCUGCACCCAGGGGAAGCAUCCAGCCAGCCACCCCUCACUGCUCCUGCUCCACCAGAUACUUGUUACACUGACAACUGUCUGGGGAAACUAAUUCAAGAUAAAAAAUUCCUCUGAUAACCAAUAACCCAAGAUAUGUAAUUUCCACUCAGGCCAGUUCCCCAAAGCAAGAAUUAACAGCAAUUAAGAGCUAACGCAGGACUUUCUUUCAGUUCUGUCAGUAUCUCUACAAAUGACCCCAUUUACAGAAACGAUGCACUACAAAUACUGGGAAAUUAAGUACUGUUAUGCAACUACAUCAGAAAAAAGUCCAGGAACUCUCAAAAGUGUCUUUCAGAAUUAUCAUUUAUGAAAGUUGAAGAUAAAAAAAUAUUUUAAUGCAUAAAUUGUAUCUGCUGGGUCAAAUUACUUUAAAAAAGAGCUCUUCACACUCUUUAUGAGCACUAUACCCAAGCACAUGUAGGUCACAGUCUCUGCGCAUCAACUUCUAACCUCCUGACGGAAGAAAGGCCAGCUGCAACCACCACUUUGAAGAGUCAAAGAAUGGCCCCUGAAUACUUUUUAUACUCCUUGGGGAAAAAGCAAAAUAUAGUCAGGAGCAUUUAACAGACAGGAAUAUAGUACAAAUGCUUCCUAAGUUUAAAUGAGCAACUACAGUCUGAACUCUCAAACGCCUUAUAUGUUCCUGAAUAUACGCAGUUAUAUUUUGUUAAGUUCUCAAAACCAUCAAGCAUUAACUGUGCGCAUUUGGAAAUCUUGUUACUCCCUGAGCAUUAAUACAAGAACUACAAUUGAAAAUGCAAAGAAAAACAUUUCCACCCAAAACACAUUCUGCACACCUGGGAAAUCAAUCUUUCCAACAAUACAACUCCUAAAUCCUCUCUUCCUGACCCUAAUUAUAUUUUUUUAAACCGAAGUUAGAUGCAAGUCUAUCUGCCCGAGGGUUUGCCACGUGGCCCAGAUAGGCUGGGUUUCUUAAUGGUGCUAUAACUUGGGGAUGGCUGGGAGGAAAACACAUUCUUAUAAAGAAUGGCUGACCAAGUAAAUAAUUUCUCCUCCAGUGCUUAACAAAAGCACGACAAGUUAGAAGAGAGAAGCUUGCAGCCCCUUCUAUUUCUGUAACAGGAUUACAGUCAUGCACAGAAACCUCAAAGAAUAAUUUGCAGUAACAUCAACUCGAUGGAACACCCUACCUGGUGCUGGUAGCCAGCACCCGCAUUUUGAAGGCAAGGGUAACAACCCCAGAGCGCCAGCAACAGAAAACCAGAAGGCAAACCCACUGCUAGGUAACACCACCAACAGCCCCAAACAACGCCCUAAAGCAGGCCUUUUGGGUAGCCAGAAAGCAAGGGUCGGUGCAUUAUUUAAAGGAAGCCCUGCUGGGUAAAUGUGCAACAAGCACACACCAUCAGAGCAUCAAUUCCUCACCUUGCAGAGUACCCGCAGGGUGAAGACAAUAGUGCCUAUUUUUCCUCUAAGACCCCCACACCGUACGACAAUAUCCUAUUUCCAGCUUACCUGUGUGCAAACCCUACACAAGUAGCAUCUCAUUAGUGCAUGCUUUAACUGAGCCAUAAAAUAUUAACACAGUUACAUUACACGUAUUCCACUCAAAUUUAAAAUCCAGAAAACUGUCCAGAUUCUGACCUAAAGCCUACCAGAGCUUUGUGAAGGACAAUUCCCAGCCGAGGCUGGUUCAAGGAACACACUUCCUGCACUUCUCUCGAUUGUCAUAGAAACACAGCAGCUGCUGUCACGACUCACAACGUGUCUGCCUGUGUCAGAGCUUUUCACUCCUCUUUUUUUAGAGCAGUAACGCUCACAGUUUCACAUAAUUACCGAAGGCUGAAUUAUUCCACAAAACUUCGCACUCCAUACUAAAAAUAUUGUAGACGUUUAUGGUACUGCAUGUUAUGAAUAAUAGGAAAAAAAGGUCUGGAAAAUACCCUUAAGGCAGUAAGAAAAGCAUCUUUCACGAAUAGAAGAGCUUCAAGAGCACAGCAUUUCCUCAAAGGAAAGCACGGGUAGCCUCACUUUGGUGCCAUCAGCAACAGGCAUUUUUACUACAGGAGGCACAGGACACAGCAGGUGCACUGCACACACUUCAGGAGCACCUAAGACACGGCAGGCCUCGUUCUCUAGCACCUAAAUGCAAGACAAGACAUUAGUUGAAGUGAAAUCCCCAAACAAGGGAUCAAAUUUUCAAAUCAUAUUAAGAGCGGUAAGACAUGGUAAGAAUAGAUUAUCGUUUGUUACAUGACCUAAAGCUCUUUACCGUAAAGCAGUCAGUCAGUAAUCCAUCUCCCAAUUAACUGAGAUGCUUUUCUACAGCAACUUCCAAGAAACUAAACCGUACAAACAGCAGCACAGCUUUUAAGAGAAACAAUACCAAUUAAUAAACGCUGAACAAGGGUUUGUUUCUCCUUUCGGACUGCUUGUGUGAACACCAGAGGAUGAAAGCCUAUUCCACGUGUACUCGUUCUGCUGCAGAAAAACAUCAGAAUUAUUUUCAGCGUGGUAAUAAAUGACAUGGUGCAUGUGUGUCAGAUGUGUGCGUGAUCUAAUUUGGAAGAAUCCCGACCCGACACACCGCAAAGCGGUUUGCCAGUCGGCUCCUACCUGCCUGAAUCCCCGCUGCCACCAUGCGAGGGGGUUCUGCGCUCUCCUCCUGCCCUCGGGCACAUUCCCACCACCCCUCUUUACACCGUGAGGGUUUGCACAUCCUCAGCCCUGAGUUCAGGGAUAUGAUUCGACUGCAAAGUAACGCAGUAAAAAUAAGUUUUUUCCCCUAUAGCAGCGCAGACUGGACCAGCUUCAGUCUACAAAACAUCUCCAAAGGCCAUCACCAACUACGCAGGAUCUCGGUCAAGCAGCAGUGCACCGCAUAAAGUUUGACCCAUUUUAUUAGGGCAGCACUUUAGCGCAGCCUCCUAAGGUUACCAUACAGAACUGGUGUUAGAUAUAUUUAUUGGUGGCCUUCAGACUCCACGUGCUCCAAGUGUAUCUUGGACAGCAAAGCUCUAAAGUCCUUUUUGUUAAGCUAUUCUACCGUUUGGAGUAGCACAGCACUUAAAGAUCAGGGUCUCGCAUUGGCUGCACAUAAAAUCCUAUAAAGAGACUGCCUCCCUUCCACAGUUCCUCCUCUUCCUUUCAGCAGCUCGCUCACUCAUCACACUGUGCUGGCACAAGCGCACACAGCACUGAGAACCAGAUCAGGGUUCAAUUCAGCUGAGAAAUAAUCCGGUCAAAACCACAAUUUUAAGUAUUUUUCAGCUGGAUCGGCUUCCCAGACAAGUUCAUUGUGCAGUUACACGCACGCUGGUGCCAGCAGAGUGGGAAGGAGUGCCUCUUUAAGCAGAAAUGCUGCCAAACAUGUAGCCAUGGCCUAAAUAGGCAAGUCAGAAGACAGCAGGGGGAAAAAAAGGCAAACAGUACAGCUAGGAACACCCAGCCCUUAACUCUUACUUCAGCACUGCACCCACCAGACAUUUCCUUCUUCAUUUUAGCUCUCUCCCAUGCACGUUCUGUGAAGCUACAGAAGCCUGUUCUUAGGGUGGAAGUACCCAAAAAAAGGCAGCACCUUUAAAAUUAAGAAUUUUUACAGAGCUGCUCAAGGGCUGUAAUCCACCAGGAUUUCCACACUCCUUUGUAGGGCUGGUGUCUGAUGGCUUCACAGUAGCUGCUGUAUUUACAAUACAAAAAAAAACACAAACAACUCCUGCUCCCAUCUGAUUUUUGAUCUAAGUGCGAAAGCUUCCCAGAACAGCGGAGCCCAACACCGGUCAGCAUGACUGACAGGCUGAAGUGCCCAAGCUACCGAACUCUCGUCAAGAGAGGACAACAGCUUCGGGGAGCUGAACAGCCUCUUACUGUUGAGCUGUCUCCUAAACGCUCUUUGUUUGGGGGGACCUCACAAGCACGCACUUCAGCCAAGUCAGACCAGCGCUUCCUAGAGCACAGCAGCCUACUUCUCUCCAGAUGCAGCCAGCCGUUCUGCAAACAGCGGAAGGUAAGAGCUGUAACACAGAAGUGGACUGAAGAAUACAGGCAGGACAGGACCAUAACCUCAGUGGGUUUUUUUGUUUUUAAAUUUUCAACAGCAUAUUUCACGUUACCCCUUUAAACAAGCCUAUUGCUAGGCCUUGCUCCUCUUAACUGGCAUUGCUCCAUGAGCAGAGAACUUAACCAUAGCUCUCAAACAGGAGUUCAGCUCCCUCCCAUAACUGCACCCCGAUCUUUCCUCGACAUUAGUAUCCCAAACCCUCCUCACGCUUUUGCUACUUCUGAAGAUUUUUCUUCCCCUCCUACUGCAUCAGUUUGCAUUUAAAGAAGCCCAUCCACCACUUGUACAAUGGCACCAUUGUUCCCCUUCUGCGACUCCUGCCCACAGACGCAGCUGGGUGGGAGCCCCGCUCCCCAAGUGGUUCUCCCACUGCCGCCCUACGUGGAAGCCAACAGCGCAGGAGGUGCCACCAGGAGCAGUGUGCGGGGCACAGCCACCCAGCUUUCUGGAGGGAGGCUCAGCAGCUCUCACUCUUAUUCCACAUAGAUGUUACUUGACCAAGAGAAAGUCUUCUGAUAAGGCAAGAGAAGACAGUGAGCUGCAGAUGCUGGUAAGCUGCUCCUCACUGCAGUUCUCAUUCCUGGCCUCAGUUUCCUCACUGUUAACAACAGAUUCUUUGGGGUACUGAAGACAAAGUACCACUGCUGAAGCAGUAACAGCUCCCACAGCUGCUUUGCAAUUUUGAAGUGUGCCAAAAGCAAGCACUAAUCUACGCUUUUAAGAUAAAACAUACCUAGAAUCAAAUGGAGAAAGACAUUCCUGAACAGGAGAAAAGUCAAACCUUGUUUACAUCUCUGACCACACUCAGUUUGGCUAGGGACAGAAAUGUGACUUCAUCCCUUCAUCAUCUGCACAAACUGCAGCAGACUACAGCAGCGUUUCAGCUACAAAGAGGAAACGCGAAUCAAGUGAUAGGUUACUAACAAAGAAGCAGAGAAUGGUCCUGUAGCAGACUUAGCAGCCACAGCAGAUACCCCAGAGCCUCCUCCAGAGGCGUUCAGGCCCCAACCAGUUAAACAACUUGUCCACGAUCAGGGCUGAUCACUCAGCUUAGGACUUAGGUUCCUGGCUCCCAGCCUUGGACGCAGACCAUCAUACUUUUGCGUAUCUUUGGAUUACGCUUGAAAGAACAUUUAGAUACAGCAGCUUGACUCUUUUCCUUCUGCCAAGUAAUUAAACAAAUUUGACUUAAUUCGUUCUGAAGCACAAACUCAUUCCAUUAAGCUAACGUCUAGUUUUCAAGGAUGGUUUAAACUCACGGUUCUCAAGUUGUUUCCAAGUGGAGUUGCCACUAUGCUACCUCUUGGAGAGCAGAACUGCAGGAGAACAAACCCAAAGAAACUGCAGAAAAUCUCUGUACUCCUUUUCUGCAGUCAUUCCCGUAAAGGAAGCUUCUACUAAGAAAGUGUGGUCAUGUCUGCUCUUGAGCAGUUCUGGACAGUUAAGUCUUUCCUGCACUGGAACAGCAGUGCCACAAAAAAAGAAAUCCAUGCAUUACAGAUUCUUUUGAUACCCUGGACCACUGAACUUAAAGGACAAUAAAUCUACUUCACCCCUGGAAAAGUCUUGUCUCAUCUAGUGUCCUGGGUCCAGAUUCUCCAGAGUAGUCAGAAUAACAAGUUGAGCACUGAUACUUUGUGGGACUGGGCUCCAGAAGGACAAAUAGGAAGUUGAGAAGGGAGGAAGACUUCUGUCGAGCAAAGAAUCGGCUGUUUCAGAAGCAGAGACAGCAGAAGCCACAUGACAAAAAGGCAACCUUCUGUCAUCGGUUAAUUUUAAGGACACCAACUAUAAUGAUUCAGACACUCAGAUUUCAACUUCAAAUCCAAGUUCCGUACUUCACCUUGAUGCAAACAAGAGCCAGCCAAAGCUGACAACCAAAGAGAAGCUCCAUACGUGCUGAGACUGGAGGGGAGCUGGCUGCUCCUCACACAGCCACACUCCUGAAGUUACAAAAGCUCUGCCAAAGCGAAAUGGCGCAGCCUUGGCCAUUGCCUUCUUCACUUCCUAGGUUUCAUAACAGUUUCCCCCCUUUUCCUUCCAUCCUCAGCAUCUCCAAAGGAAAUGUCACAUCCACCUACCACACAGUGCUUAGAAAGCCAGAGAAUUAAGAACUGUCACCUGACAGCUGGUGUUUCAGCCAACAAACCCUCAAAUAUUGACUUUGUAACAGCCAGCCAUUCUAACCUCAGCACCCACAGAACUGGAGGCUGUUCCUAUUAGGAGACGGUGAGGUGGUCACACCUGAGCCCAAACCGACUGGAAGCUCUGCACCAGCACUCUUUGCAAACUUUUUGAAGUUGCUGCCAUCGUCACUGCAUUGAUAGAAGCGUUACUCUCCACUGGCCUGUUUUACGGGCAGUAUUUUAGGGAGACUGCUGGUUCACAUUCGGCUGCUUCAUGUAAUGAAUGGAUGCAGGUUCCUUGGCUGACACAUAGUUAGCGUUAACUUCACCAGAUAUCACAAUUCUGUUAAGAACGGAAAGAAAAAGUGAAACAUACUUCUUCCAUUUCUUCUGGGUUUGUUUUCUUCACUUUGCUGUUUCUAGGGAAGUUUCAGUACUCCACAAAAGUCAGUUCUUAAAAUCCCAGUUCUAAAGCCACUUCAAAACCCCACGCCCUAGGUACUACCCUAGCCAAACUGGCACUGUCCUCAGUCCCAGCCGUGGCUGGAGCCCACGCUUGUUAGCCUGCAGACCACGGUGGUUAAAGAAUCACUGAAGUUUCAGACAGCAAAAUUUUCUUUAGCUUUCACCAUGGAGCUGCCAC